GGCUCCCAAAGGUCUGCCUGCUGAAAAGAUUUCAGCAGACAGGAAUUUCCUCCAGCCAUUUAAUGACAUGGGAAAUUGCUUAAUGAAUUCAACUAAGAAUAUCAGGUCUGGUCUGAAAGAAGACUACAUGGUUUAUUAAUUUAGCCAGGAAACAAGGUCCAAGAAGUGCUUGCGCUUUUUAAUUCCACUGGACCCAAAAGUUGCUAUGGAAGAGGAACAAAUCCUUUUGAAGAGAACUGAAAUGAAC